CCGCCGGAGACGGUCGUAUACAUUCCACAUAGACAUGCCGAGAGUUCUUUGGGUCUGAAGAAAAAUGCUUGAGCAGGCACUGGGGGCUCCCUGUAAUCCUAACUACUCGGGAGGCGGAGAUCUGAGGAUCGAAAACCAAAGCAGAAAACCU